UACGUAGGUGGCGAACGUUAUCCGGAAUUACUGGGCGUAAAGGGUCUGUAGGCGGUCUGAAAGGUCCGGCGUGACAAUUCUCGGCUUAACUGAGAGAGUGCGUUGGAAACCGGUAGACUAGAAUCACGUCGAGGUCGGUGGAAUUCCCGGUGUAGUGGUGGAAUGCGUAGAGAGUCGGGAGGCAACCCCUAAAGCGAAGGCAGCCGGCUAGACGAUGAUUGACGCUGAGGGACGAUAGCGUGGGGAGCGAACAGG
rnacentral:rRNA from 1 species